AUGAUAUUUAAAAAAAUUUCAAUUGACAAUAAAAAAAAAAAUUCACAAAGAUUGAAUUCAGGGUUAUCGAGUCAGCACGAGUUUAAUGGAGGAAAUCACCUGUGUAAUUAUUGAGUCACGCGUUUUGUCUGUAUAAGGUUAAUCUUUUUACAUAUUACUAUGUUUAUAAUAUAUAUCUUGAGUAUGAUGAGAAAAAUUAUUCCAGGUAAUUUGAUUGUAACGGGCAUAUCUGAUUGUUGUAAUAAGUUAUAAAAGCGUAGGAGCGAGCGUUGAUGUACUCAAUAAUAAUAAUUCAACUGGUGCGUCAUAAAGAGAAUUGUACGAUAUUCUUCCUGGGCAAUAAUAUACAAUAGUAGUUUUUUUUUUUUUUUUUCUUUUUCUUCUAUUCAAGUGAUGAGUCUGUAACUUGAAGGUUAUUGUGUACUUCAGAUUGCUGACCAUAGUCACUCUGGUCGAGUCAUCAUCAUCAUACCUUGAAGAAAGAUACCUGAAUGAACGUGACACAAGUAUAGGACCAACAGAUAAGUUUUAACGGCUAAUGGCUUUUAGUCGUGACAUUUGUGCUGUGUUAUACGAGUGAAGAGGAA